rnacentral:rRNA from 1 species
UACGUAGGGGGCAAGCGUUGUCCGGAAUUAUUGGGCGUAAAGAGCGUGUAGGCGGUCCGGUAAGUCAGCUGUGAAAGUCAAGGGCUCAACCCUUGAAUGCCGGUUGAUACUGUCGGGCUAGAGUCCGGAAGAGGCGAGUGGAAUUCCCGGUGUAGCGGUGAAAUGCGUAGAUAUCGAGAGGAACACCUGCGGCGAAGGCGGGUUGCUGGG